AAAUUGAAGAGUUUGAUCAUGGCUCAGAUUGAACGCUGGCGGCAGGCCUAACACAUGCAAGUCGAACGGUAACAGGAAGCAGCUUGCUUCUUUGCUGACGAGUGGCGGACGGGUGAGUAAUGUCUGGGAAACUGCCUGAUGGAGGGGGAUAACUACUGGAAACGGUAGCUAAUACCGCAUAACGUCGCAAGACCAAAGAGGGGGACC
rnacentral:rRNA from 1 species